ACCGGUUUCAACCGGUUAUGUGAGUUAGUUGCUUCAACGAGGAGAAGAGGCGCAGGAAUACAAUCUCUCAAACCGCCCCGCUGCAACAAAAAACAACAUUAUAGUUAAAGAAUUAAAUUGUAAAUUAAGAUUUAUUUUUAUUUCGUAAAAUGAAUCGGAGUAUAUUAUUGAGCGUACCGUGAUAAUAGUUGCGGAAUCCACAUCUGUGAUCCUUAUUAACUAGCCAUCAAUAUACACCUUCUGGAAUUGGAGCCAGCUAACGUGUCAGAGAUAACAGUAACGUUAGCCAGUCUAUUUCUGACUAAACAACAACGAUAUUGUAUAUCACCUUGUAGCAAGCUUCCCUGUGGGGAAAAAAGCCAAUCUUCUUUCAGUCAGAGGCUUGGACUUUUGAGCUCCAUGCCAGCAGUUAUGACAGUGUUAGCAGACCAUGCAGCGCAGCAGCUGCUAGACUUCAGCCAGAAACUAGACAUCAACCUGUUGGACAACGUGGUCAACUGUCUGUACCACGGGGUCGGAACACAGCAAAGGCUGGCUCAGGAGGUUCUG